CCCACAUAUAAACAUCUUCUUCUGUCUCAUAUAGACAAAAAAAAAAUUAUACGUAUACACAUGCAUUCUGUACUCUUCUAUGAUUUUGGGGUUUUUUGAAUUUUCUGUAGUGAAACAGAUCCUUUUCUCUCUCUCUACCUGUAAUAGACUAGUAUUCCAUUUUUCUGUCUAUUUGAAAAUGGGGAAUAACGGGGAGUCUCCGGUGGAGCCAAUGAAUCUCACUUCAUUCAGGAGCCGGAGGAAAGCACCAACCAUUUUCGGUCAACCUGAUGACUUUAUCAACCUCCUGUUUGGCUCUGAUCCCAUCCGAAUUGAGAGGUUUAAGAACAAGGCAAGGACACUGCUAUGCAAAAAGAAGUGAAAAAAUUGGAAAAGCUGAAGAAUGAAAGAGUUGGAGCUCGCAGAAGCCACUUGGCGACUCGCCGAGUGAGCCUCCCGUUCGCCAAACUUUCUAGCGAAGUAGCACAUGAACUAACCCAACUCGGCAAGUGAAAAGCGCUUCGACGAUGCGCCGAAUGGAACGACGAUUAUGACCCAACUAGCCAAAUCUUCCAGAACAAUUGGAUGCAGAAGUCAAGCCAAAAGGCAAGAAGAGGGUAACACUUUUGAUUCAAGAAAGUGCGAAAAAUUCAGCUUUCAAGAAAUCUGGUGCCAGGAUCAACGGACGUUACUGACGGUUCAUUGUUUGAUACACGGACCAUAGGUGAGGUUCAUGGCUAGUAGUCAGAUUUUCCAAAAAUUUCAAGUUCCAUUACCUUGAUGAAGGUUCACCAGGACGACCCGUCAUUCAUUCCACAAGUUGUAGAUCGGUUUCGUAGGUGAGUCUUAGACUUUGAGAGAUUUUGAGGUCGAAAGUGGAGGACCAUGGGUGGGACCCACCACCCGUUGAUUGAACCACAACCUGUGGGUGAGUCCCGUCAUUUGGAGUCCAAAAUCGUAGUCUCUUAACCCAAUCGACAGAGGGACAGGAUGGUGCAUAGGUGGACCCACAGAUCGUAGGUCCCCACCAUCGAGUGGGUUUGUAAUUAUUAUUUUCAGAGGCUUUUGAGUCUUUUCUAAUUAUUCUAAGCUAAUACUAUGUUGUUUUACCACCAAAAACCCUAUAUAAGUGUUCUAACCCUCAAAUUUCCCCAAUUAAAUUAAUAUGUCGAACAACUAAAGCUGAACAUGCUACAUGAAUUCCACAA